UAGGGAAUCUUCCACAAUGGGCGCAAGCCUGAUGGAGCAACACCGCGUGAGUGAAGAAGGGUUUCGGCUCGUAAAGCUCUGUUGUUAAAGAAGAACACGUAUGAGAGUAACUGUUCAUACGUUGACGGUAUUUAACCAGAAAGUCACGGCUAACUACGUGCCAGCAGCCGCGGUAAUACGUAGGUGGCAAGCGCUAUCCGGAUUUAUUGGGCGUAAAGAGAGUGCAGGCGGUUUUCUAAGUCUGAUGUGAAAGCCUUCGGCUUAACCGGAGAAGUGCAUCGGAAACUGGAUAACUUGAGUGCAGAAGAGGGUAGUGGAACUCCAUGUGUAGCGGUGGAAUGCGUAGAUAUAUGGAAGAACACCAGUGGCGAAGGCGGCUACCUGGUCUGCAACUGACGCUGAGACUCGAAAGCAUGGGUAGCGAACAGGAUUAGAUACCCUGGUAGUCCAUGCCGUAAACGAUGAGUGCUAGGUGUUGGAGGGUUUCCGCCCUUCAGUGCCGGAGCUAACGCAUUAAGCACUCCGCCUGGGGAGUACGACCGCAAGGUUG
rnacentral:rRNA from 1 species